ensembl:lncRNA
UGGUGUUUAAAUAAAAGGCUCAUGAAGACUGUUUCGGCAGAAGAAACCAGUGUACAGAGAAUGACAUAACUCCUGUGGAAGGUAGCUCAGCCAUGGAGGCCAUUUACAGAGUCUUUGGAGGCCUGGAGUACUGGUGAACUUGAUGACCAUGCAUAUCUUACUGAAAUUGAUAAAAAUCUUUUUUUAAGAAGCUGGUCCAUUAUCUCUCAGGAUUUAAAAAAAACUGAAUGGAAUACUACAGUGCUUAAUGGGUAGUUCCCUCUUCUGUUUCUACUGUCACUCUCUCCUACACACAUGGAAAAUAAGUAAAUGGAUAUACUGUCAUAUAGAUUAUCUCAAGAUCAUUAGCACCUUGUCCUUAAGUUUGCAGCUGUAAUUAAAAGCCACAGGCCAGACUGUACUGACAUGAAAAUAAAACGUUUAUUUAAUGAGCCCUGAAAUCCUAAGCUGAAGGCUUAAGCAAUGGUCCUGAUCAAAUUAAUAGACUUAAGUGCUAAAAUCUCUGCUUUACCAUUUGUAUAUAAUACAGAAUACACACUGUCCUCUAAGUCAGAUAUGUAAUGAUAGUGUCACAAGAUAACCCUGGUUCUGGAAUCCAGCUAUGCAGACAAGUAGACGUUAUAGCCUUCCUUUAAUUCCAUGGUAAAUUUAACCAGUUCAGAAAAAGCAACCUAGUGGAACUACAAAUUCCCUGCUUCUAAUCAGAGUUCAUCUGUGUGAUUUUUGAGUCGGUUACUUAACCUUUCUGAAUCUUCAAAAGUGAUUUGAAUUGUUACUGUAAAAUAUUUUAGACAUGUACCAAAUUAUAAAGAAAACCAGCACACCUAUAAAUCUAAUGCCCAAGCUAAAUCUCCAUUACCAGUAUAGAUUGAUCCUCUAUGUGUCCAUUCCUGGUCAUAUACUUUUUCCUUCCUCCAUGUCUCAGGAGUCCUGAUACUUUCAUCUAUAAAAUUUGAGGGUAAAAAUUCUUGUUUAUACACUAGUUCUUCAGAGUAGAUGAUAAAUGCCCCACACAGUGUCUAAUAUAUAAGAAUUAAGUCAAAUGUUGGUUUUUGCUUUGAAUUGUAUAGUUGUGCAGAUGAUGUAUAAUAAAAGGAUGCCACAAAUUUGUGCAGUUUUGUGACAGUUUUCCAGGAGAUGGCAAUAAAGUCUUUAGUAGAAAAGUUUGUGCAGUUAGUGUGACAGACAGGUUUUCAGCAUAUGAGUGCCAGAUUUCUUUUUUUUGGUACCGGGGAUUGAACUUGGGUCCUUGCGCCGCGA